CCAAAUCCUAAGACUAGAUGCAUGCAAAUUUUCCUAGAUGUUUCUAAAUUCUAGCCCCACAUAAAUUUUAUCAUUUCUUAAAUAGUUUGAUGGGCAUAAUUUACUUAUAACUAGUCUUCAAUAUUUCAUAAAAUUGUCGUAAGCAUUUUAUUUAUUUUUUUCUUUUUUCUUCUUAACAUUUUCUUGGCCAAAGAAGGAUCUUGC
rnacentral:lncRNA from 1 species